CGUCCCCGAACUCCUGGGCCUGUCCUGGGCCCCCGGUCUGUGCACUCCGCUCGCCGCAGCGCCCGGCCCGGGCCGCACCCGCCGGCCCCAUGAGGAGAGACGUGAACGGAGUGACCAAGAGCAGGUUUGAGUCUGUACUUUUGUAGCUCAUUGUUUCUGGGAACCCUUGGAUGUCUACAUGCUUUGAGAUUGGGACGAAAGUUCAGCAAAUCCAUUCCGGUCUUUUAGGAACUUUUUCUCCUCUAGCGAGGGAGGUUUACAGUCCUGGAAUUGAGGAGUGGAUGGUCUUGAAAGCAUCUGUAGAGAGUAGUCACCGUGCAGGAAAGACAUUCCAUUGGGAAGCAAAGUAUUGUAACUACUGGUGAAUUACAGUAGUAUAACAGUAUACUGGAAGGUUCUUUGAAGGGACAAGAGAAAGAAACUUCUACAGGAAGAGUAAAUGUCACCUGGUCUUUUCUGGCAGAGAACCAGGCUGACCUGGUAUCACUCACAGCUUGGUGGACAAUCUCACUCGGUGUUUUUCAUCGUCUCCAUUUGAAAGAUGUAAGACGGCAAGAAAAAAGUUAAGAAACUCGACUACUAGGUACAGGGAGUGAAAAAUUUUAAGGGUCGUCAGUUUGUUCCUUGAUUCUUUUUUUUUUUUUUUUUUUUUAAUUUUUUUACUCCUUUUGUGCCACCUUUUUUUUUUUUUAU